rnacentral:sRNA from 1 species
GUCUGCGUGGCGGCGAGGAAGACGACGAUCGCCGCGACUACGACGGAGAUGGCCGACCACGGGCUGCCGAAGUAGUCACGCCGGAGCGCCGCCCUGUUGCGGUGCCACCACGAGCCACAGUACCCGCGCACGUCCUCGUACAGCCCGGCGAAAGCCUGGCGGCUGAAGUCCAUGGCGGCGCCCUCGCCGAGGCGGCUGAAGAACCGGGCCGCCUCCUCGUCGUCGGCCAGCAGGCUCUCCAGGACGCCGCGCCGGCGGAGCAGCUCGACGUCGCGCGCCGUCACGAUGAGCUGGCCCAUCAGCGCCACGUAGCUGGUGAGGAGGCGCGGCUCCUCGCCCGCCUGCGUCUGCUCGAACGCCAUGAGGUUGACGAGGAGCGGUCGCUUCAUGUCGUCGAUCUCUCUAUGGCCGGGAUCUCCAUGACGCCCCUGCGGCGGUCGAACGUCACGUCGAACCUGUCCCGCGCCGCGCUCCGCCGCACGAGGGUGACACCCGCCUCCCGCAGUUCGCUGGCACGCAGAAUCGUCCGCGUCGGCGCCGCCGGUGCCUUCCGGGCCGACUCGGGCAGCCGCGGCCGUGGCCGCUUGGGAACGAAGCACUCGUAGUACAGGUGGAGGAGGUGGUGGACGUCCCAGUCACCGGACGGCCGCCUGAUGGGCUCCUCGUCGCUGAUGUACUCGAUGAGGAGGUUGAAGAGGGACUCCUUGUCGGGCUGCAUGCCGGCGACGGCUUCGUAGAGCCUCUCGAGGACGAAGAACGGGAUCUGGUUCUCCAUCAAGAGCAGGUCGGCGGCGACGAGCGUGAGGCCCCAGCCGACGUCGCAGAGCGAGUCGGCCUCCUUGGUGUGCCACUUGAAGAAGAACUCGAGGAUGAAGAAGCCGUCGAGGAGGAGCAUCCGGACGAAGUCGUCGGAGGAGUCCAUGCCCACGGGGCGCUCGCUGUAGCACGCGCGCGCCCGGGGCUCGAGGGUCCGCAUUUCCGCGACCAAGGCGGACGCGGUGACCACGGCAGCGGCGCCGUCGCCAGCGCGGCGGGAUAGCAGGUCGUGGAGGUAGCGCCACUUGUGGUCCUCCAUGGCGCGGAGCGCGGCGCCGCCGUGGUGGUAGGGGCCGAUGGAUACCAGGCGCGGCUCGUACGCGGUGCGGUUGCCGUCGCGGACGUAGGCGGGGACGCGGAAGAUGGUGAACGGCU